UACGGAGGAUCCGAGCGUUAUCAGGAUUUAUUGGGUUUAAAGGGUGCGUAGGCGGUUUGAUAAGUUAGAGGUGAAAUGUCGGGGCUCAACCCCGAAACUGCCUCUAAUACUGUUGGACUAGAGAAUAGUUGCGGUAGGCGGAAUGUAUGGUGUAGCGGUGAAAUGCUUAGAGAUCAUACAGAACACCGAUUGCGAAGGCAGCUUACCAAACUAUAUCUGACGUUGAGGCACGAAAGCGUGGGUAGCAAACAGG
rnacentral:rRNA from 1 species